CAUGUGAUAUUUUGAAUUUGAAUAUGAAGGAAGUCCCUUCGUUUAUUGACCAUUUAAAACAACAAAAUAUACAAAACAACAAUACAAUAGAAGAAUGAUAUCAAAUAACAACAACAAACAAAAGUAAUAAUGGUCAGGGUCCCUGAGAAGCAAGACUGCUUGUAGUCGGGACCCUAUAUACAAGUACAUUAUAACUUUAAUAUAAAUUUAAAUGCACACGCACGCAUAACAAGCAAGCAAGCACACACACACACACACACACACACACACAAACACACGACAGAAUGGAGCAAAGAUAUAAGAGGAAGGAAAAAUACAAGAUAAAGAGCUACGAAGAGAGAUCGAGAUUAUUUAAAGAACUGAAUAAACGUAACUUACACAAUACUUUAAA